AAAGGCCCCCGAGGAGCGGCCCCUCAUCGGGCCUUGCGGGGAAGGCGCUUUCCUGGGUGGCGAAGCCCGCCCCUGUCCUUGGGUUUUGCAUUAAGGCCGGCUUGGCAGGUGGGUCCGUGUACUUCGUUUACGAUCAGGGGCUGCUGGGGUCCAGUUACGAGGGUCAGGCUGCCUUACGAAGGGCCCAGGAGAAAAUCCCAGCGGCCUUCCACCACUACUCAGAGAUACUCGCCAAGCUCUUGGGCAUCCAGUUGGAGGUCCCAGCCGUUCCACAUGUCAAGUUUAACUUCCGAGACAGCUGGAAUUCAGGCAUCAACAGCUUGAUGAGUUCACUGUCCACCGCCCCUUCAACCAUCCAGACGUACGGUUAUGAAGGCUGGAACUAUCUGAAGGGCCAGAAGUGAAGCUCCGAGCCCUGGGGCCGGUGUCGGGGUAAUGGUGGUGAAGAGGGCUUGGGUUUGAGGAGCUGUGGGAUGACAUUGUCCCUGUGAGCGCAGCUUGUCACCAGGCCCUGCCCAAAUAAAGGACUUGAGAACGCUUUCUCACCCUGUGUGUAAUGGUUGGGGUGGGAGGCUCGGUGUGCCCUUUGUGCCCACACGGUUUCCUUCCUCAGUGCCCAGCUUGGUGGGAUUUGAGCAGAGGUGGCAGCAUUGGUGUGAAUCCCCUGGGCAGCCUGUCCAGGAUAGUCGGCCACACCAACAGGCAUUGGGCUUUGGCCAGUGCCAGAAGGACCGCCCUGGGCCCGCUGCCCCCACUGUUCUGUGCCACCCACAGCUGAAUGGGUGGAGAGAGUUGGUUGGUGCCCGUGCCUUCCUGGGUACUCGGUUACAGGAGCCCAGACUUCUAGUCCAGUCCAGCUCCCUCACUUCCCAGAGGAGUCAAUGCAGAAAGGCCUCUCCAGCAGCUCUGGCUCAGCACUGGCACCCAAGGUGGCAGGGAAGGGUCCAUCCACGAGAACCUUUUCACCCCAACCCUUGUAUACCUGCCCAGUAAGAGCAUUUCUCGGGCAGGCCUCUGCAGAACCCCCAGAGGGCUCAGGACCUCCCUCUGGGCUUGAAGUGUUGUGUUGCCAGCCCACAGCCCCUAAGCAAGCAGUCGGUCUUCUCCCCUCUGGUUACUCUGCUGGCCAUCUGCUCUUCCCAGGAGAAGUGUUGUUCCUAGUGUUUCCUGCUCCUUACGUAAAAUGCUUCUUGGAUUUGAAAGGCUUGUACAAGUGGCAGUUGUUUAUCAUUUAUAAAGUGCAUUCCUCACAUGAAA
rnacentral:lncRNA from 1 species